rnacentral:rRNA from 1 species
GUGGGGAAUUUUGGACAAUGGGCGCAAGCCUGAUCCAGCCAUGCCGCGUGCAGGAUGAAGGCCUUCGGGUUGUAAACUGCUUUUGUACGGAACGAAAAGACUCUGGUUAAUACCUGGGGUCCAUGACGGUACCGUAAGAAUAAGCACCGGCUAACUACGUGCCAGCAGCCGCGGUAAUACGUAGGGUGCGAGCGUUAAUCGGAAUUACUGGGCGUAAAGCGUGCGCAGGCGGUUAUGUAAGACAGAUGUGAAAUCCCCGGGCUCAACCUGGGAACUGCAUUUGUGACUGCAUAGCUAGAGUACGGCAGAGGGGGAUGGAAUUCCGCGUGUAGCAGUGAAAUGCGUAGAUAUGCGGAGGAACACCGAUGGCGAAGGCAAUCCCCUGGGCCUGUACUGACGCUCAUGCACGAAAGCGUGGGGAGCAAACAGGAUUAGAAACCCCUGUAGUCC